rnacentral:lncRNA from 1 species
GUCAGACCAUUCCUUCCUCAUUGGCAAAGGGCAGAGAGGGACUUAAGAGAAGAACCUGUUGUCUUUCAAGUAUUUUGGAAAAAUGAGGAGUUUCUAUUUUAUGGAACAAGGCUUUGCCCCAUUAGACGUCUGCUCUCCUGCCCCAGAUGUGCUACACAGAUUCCUGGCCUCUUGACUCAAACCCCCGGGAACGAGGCCAGUGGGCACUUUCUCCUCUGGUCCCUGCCAAGGUUGUCACUGUGGAUAAAAGCUUUCCUACAAGGCCCACAUCUCCCUUUGCUUCAACCUUGGCUUACCACCUUCUCAUCUGAGUCCUGCAGCAUCUACAGUCCGUUCCACAUCCUCACCCCAUACUGGUGGAGAACAUGCAUGGCCGGAAGUUGGGAGGGAAGGGAAGGCAGAGAGCUUUGAUCUAAGGCAUGCCUCAGACCUCUUUGUCUCUCUUGGACCACAUUAGGACAAUCCUUUCUAUUAGAAAGGACUAGAAAAUAGUAGUUCCAUCUACGAGAAAGAAUGCAGCCUCCUACUUUUAACCACAGGUAAUAUUUUGUAUUGCACCAAUCCCCCCCCCCCCCACCGUGUUAAACUGGUCUGACCUAAACUCCUGUUUCUCUGUCCCUUUAAUGAUUAAGAAUUUAAGAUCCAGUGCUAGGGAAUUAGGUGCCAGCAUUCCAGCUGUCUCAUUCCAGUGGUGUGGUCUUUGGACAGUUAUUUAACCUCUCAGAGCUUCAGUAUUCUUAUGUGUAAAAUGUGGAUAAAAAUGAUACCUAUGUCACGGCGAUGUUAUAAAGACUGAUUGUGAUGUGUGUUAAUGUCGUUUGUACAGUGCAUACAAAUAGUUAGCACUCAAUCAAUGUUAGAUUCUUGCUGUAGUUUGAAUGUUUAUGUAUCUUCAAAAUUCAGUUGUUGAAAUCCUAGUGGCCAGUGUGAUGGUAUUAGGAAGUAGGAGCUUUGGGAGGUGAUAGGGUCCUAAGGGUAAAGCCCUCAAGAAUGGGGUUAAUGCUGUUAUAAAAGAGACUCCACAGAGCUCUCUCACCCCUUCCAAUGUGUGAGAACACAGGGAGAAUGUGAUAUCUAUGAACCAGGAAGAAGAGAGACCUCACAAGAGUGUGACCAUGCAAGUGAUUUGAUCUUGGACUUCCCAGCCUCCAAAACUGUGGGAAAUAAAUUUUCUUUUUAUAAUCUGCCCA